CAUAUACUCCCUCCGUUCCGAAUUACUUGUCUUAGAUUUGUCUAGAUACGGAUGUAUUUAGCACUAAAAUGAGUCUAGAUACAUUUGUAUCUAGACAAAUCCAUGACAAGUAAUUUAGAACGGAGGGAGUAUAUA
rfam:Triticum urartu cultivar G1812 contig876950, whole genome shotgun sequence.